rnacentral:miRNA from 1 species
UGACUACGCUCAGUGGAAUACC